GCAGAUCUCCUUCGGGAGUGACGCUUGUGGAACGAGCGGCGGACGGGUGAGUAACACGUGGGCAACCUACCUGUAAGACUGGGAUAACUCCGGGAAACCGGGGCUAAUACCGGAUGAAACAAAGCGUCGCAUGACGCAAUGUUAAAAGGCGGCAUAUGCUGUCACUUACAGAUGGGCCCGCGGCGCAUUAGCUAGUUGGUGAGGUAAAGGCUCACCAAGGCAACGAUGCGUAGCCGACCUGAGAGGGUGAUCGGCCACACUGGGACUGAGACACGGCCCAGACUCCUACGGGAGGCAGCAGUAGGGAAUCUUCCGCAAUGGACGAAAGUCUGACGGAGCAACGCCGCGUGAGUGAUGAAGGUUUUCGGAUCGUAAAACUCUGUUGUUAGGGAAGAACAAGUGCCAUUCGAAUAGGUUGGCACCUUGACGGUACCUAACCAGAAAGCCCCGGCUAACUACGUGCCAGCAGCCGCGGUAAUACGUAGGGGGCAAGCGUUGUCCGGAAUUAUUGGGCGUAAAGCGCGCGCAGGCGGUCCUUUAAGUCUGAUGUGAAAGCCCACGGCUUAACCGUGGAGGGCCAUUGGAAACUGGAGGACUUGAGUACAGAAGAGGAGAGUGGAAUUCCACGUGUAGCGGUGAAAUGCGUAGAGAUGUGGAGGAACACCAGUGGCGAAGGCGACUCUCUGGUCUGUAACUGACGCUGAGGUGCGAAAGCGUGGGUAGCGAACAGGAUUAGAUACCCUGGUAGUCCACGCCGUAAACGAUGAGUGCUAGGUGUUAGGGGGUUUCCGCCCCUUAGUGCUGAAGUAA
rnacentral:rRNA from 1 species